rnacentral:rRNA from 1 species
GUAGGUGGCAAGCGUUGUCCGGAAUUAUUGGGCGUAAAGCGCGCGCAGGCGGUUUUUAAGUCUGAUGUGAAAGCCCACGGCUCAACCGUGGAGGGUCAUUGGAAACUGGAGAACUUGAGUACAGAAGAGGAAAGCGGAAUUCCACGUGUAGCGGUGAAAUGCGUAGAGAUGUGGAGGAACACCAGUGGCGAAGGCGGCUUUCUGGUCUGUAACUGACGCUGAGGCGCGAAAGCGUGGGGAGCAAACAGGGAUUAGAUACCCUGGUAGUCCACGCCGUAAACGAUGAGUGCUAAGUGUUAGGGGGGGUUUCCGCCCCCUUAGUGCUGCAGCUAACGCAUUAAGCACUCCGCCUGGGGAGUACGGCCGCAAGGCUG